GAUGAACGCUAGCGGCAGGCCUAACACAUGCAAGUCGAGGGGUAGAAGCUUUCGGGCUUUAAGACCGGCGCACGGGUGCGUAACGCGUAUGCAAUCUGCCUUGUACUGAGGGAUAGCCCAGAGAAAUUUGGAUUAACACCUCAUAGUAUUUUUGCCUGGCAUCAGGUGAUUAUUAAAGGUUACGGUAAAAGAUGAGCAUGCGUCCCAUUAGCUAGUUGGUAUGGUAACGGCAUACCAAGGCUACGAUGGGUAGGGGUCCUGAGAGGGAGAUCCCCCACACUGGUACUGAGACACGGACCAGACUCCUACGGGAGGCAGCAGUGAGGAAUAUUGGUCAAUGGGCGCAAGCCUGAACCAGCCAUGCCGCGUGCAGGAUGAAGCAUCUAUGGUGUGUAAACUGCUUUUGUACGGGAAGAAACACUGCUACGUGUAGCAGCUUGACGGUACCGUAAGAAUAAGGAUCGGCUAACUCCGUGCCAGCAGCCGCAGUAACAC
rnacentral:rRNA from 1 species